UACGUAGGGUGCAAGCGUUGUCCGGAAUUAUUGGGCGUAAAGAGCGUGUAGGCGGCCCGAUUAGUCUGCUGUGAAAGUCCAGGGCUCAACCCUGGAAUGCCGGUGGAUACUGUCGGGCUAGAGUCCGGAAGGGGCGAGUGGAAUUCCUGGUGUAGCGGUGAAAUGCGCAGAUAUCAGGAAGAACACCCGUGGCUAAGGCGGCUCUCUAGUACGGUACUGACGCUGAGACGCGAAAGCGUGGGGAGCGAACAGG
rnacentral:rRNA from 1 species